rnacentral:SRP_RNA from 1 species
GCCGGGCGCGGUGGUGCGUGCCUGUAGUCCCAGCUACUCGGGAGGCUGAGGUGGGAGGAUCGCUUGAGCCCAGGAGUUCUGGGUUAUAGUGCGCUAUGCCGAUCAGGUGUCCGUCCGCACUAAGUUUGGCAUCGAUAUGGUGACCUCCCGGGAGCGGGGGACCACCAGGUUGCCUAAGGAGGGGUGAACCGGCCCAGGUCGGAAACGGAGCAGGUCAAAACUCCCGUGCUGAUCAGUUGUGGGAUCGGGCCUGUGAAUAGCCACUGCACUCCAGCCUGGGCAACAUAGCGAGACCCUGUCUCU